GAUCACCUGUCCUGGUUUGAAGAGACUGUCUUUGUUUGUGAACUAAUACUAAACAACUGUGACGCCCCAACUUUUUCUAUUUCUUUUAAAUUAGUUUUUGGAUUACCUUCAAUUUUUUUUAGCCAAAUAUCGUUUCGUUUUAUUUUGAGGGCCUAUGGAAUUUUUUUUAAGAAGUCGAAAUAUUAAUUAAUUAUUCCAAUCCUGAAGUCAAAUCCCCAGUCAACAUGAAUUUCCUUCUCCUAAUUUCAUUCUACACGUUUUUUUUCAUCAAUAUCCCUACUCCCUAAAAUCUCUCCAAACACCAAAUCCAUCAAUAUCUAUCAGUUUUGCCUAUAAAUAUCUCACAUUCACGAUCCUUUCAAACCUGCUGCAAUUCUUUUCUUCUGUUCCUCCAAAAGUGUGAAAGAGAAACCAAGAAAGUUGUGAUCUGCUUGUGCAAAUUUUCUUCCUCCCAAAGGGUGAACUUUUGCACGUUGUUUGUGGUUGGAGCAGAAAGUGAUUCGGGAGUUAAGCGUUUGAGGUUGAGCGCGACUAGUGCUGUGGGUGUUGAGCAAGACCGUUGAAGAAAUUUAAGUGUCUAGAAUGUGUCAUGUCUUCACACGUGGCAUAUUCCUUCUCUCAAUUGCUUCCGCUGAGUAGUUGUCAUUCUUUUGAGUUCUUGUAUCG